UCUCUCCUCCCAUCCACCCCCACCUCCCCUCCGCCAGCCGCGUCCUCCCGGGCUCGGCGAGGAACUGUUCCUGAAGGAGCCGCGGGACGCCGAAACCAGCCAAUGGAAAGCGGCGAGACGCGGAGAUUGGCACCCGGGAUGGGAAGGUCGGAGAGAAGGAGAGCGGCGGGGCCGGGCUGUCAGUCAAAGAAUAUUGAUCUCAGCGUUACUUUGACCAUUAAUGAAUUAUGAUGGCAAUAAGCAGAGACACACACCUCCAGCCUCCUGGGAGCUUAAUCUUCUGCUACAACGUUAGCAUUUGAGGUCCCGAUGAAGAAUACGGAACUGAUAAACUGCCGCCGAAACCAACCAGAAGAAUUCAGGAGGGGCCAAAAAGAGGGAGAUGCCAGCUUCCUGCCAGCCUCCCAGAAACCCUCAUGCUGGAACCCAGCUUGUCUGAGAGAUGCGCGUGCAACCAGUGAGGGCCCCGAGUUGGAUCAGAUAUGGGCACGAGCAAGAUGAUUGGUCAGAGACAACCCGGAAACCCACCCCCACCUCCAUAAAACCUGAGACCGCGAGGCACGAGCCAGAGCAAUUCUCAUGCGUUGCAUUACUCUGCUGCUCUCACUCCAGUGCCCCUUUCCAGUAAACUCUUCUCUUUUGUCAAUACGUGUGUUUCCUUGCACAAUUCAUCUCUGAGUGUUAGACGAGAGCUCACGCUAAAGCUCUGGAAGGAAUUCCCUCCAGGAACAUAAACAAGUUCAGGCUAUCCUAGGCUGUCCUGCUAGGUUGGCCCUGGUGGAUGAGAGGUCACAUGGAGGAGCAUCCAGCCAGCCCUGAGGAGAGGCACAUGUAAGUAAGCUCCUCCCUGGAGCUGAACCUUGAAGUGACUUUGGCUCCUGGGGACACCUUGAUCAGUAGUCUUGUGACCUUGAGCUAGUACCACCCAGUUAAACCUCUUCUCGAUGCCUCAGCCACAGAAACUAUGAGGUAAUAAGUUGCUAAGUAAUUUGUUGUGCAGAAAUAGAGAACUCAAAUGCAGGACUGGCAUGUUUUUGUAUUCUCCAAAGCACGUAAUUGGAUGCUUUGUUCAUAAAGGAGUUUAUUAUAUGACUGUUGGAAUUGGAGGAAUGUUGCCUUGAGAAAUUUUCAAGAGUAGUUAAUUUCUAGGUUUGUACCGGAUGUAUUCACUGUAGAUUCUGGGGAAAAUAUGUCUUAAUAAGUUAUUGGAAAAAAACAAAAAGGUUGGGGGUUGGAGUGGGGGUUAACAUAUGAUAAGUCUGAGGAAAACAUAGGCUUCCAGACAUUUUGAGUUUUCCUGCAGUUGUGGUUUUCUAACUUGAUGAAAUGAGACUUUUAAAUAAAUAGCCAUUUGAGGAGGAUCGAGGCCCAGCAACCCAAAUAUCUGCAGUACAAUAAAGCCUCAAAGUACCACAAUGCGAGCCAGAGGCCACUAUUUGAGAAUCAAGUGCAGCAGGGAAGAGUAUGAGUUUGCAUUUAGCUGUGACAAGUAUCCAAAGGACUCUGCCUCACACCUAUUCUUUCCUCCACUCCAUACCUUUUCUUCAACAUCCUGACAUUUAUAUUUUUUUCCUUUCUCGGAGUUCCCGUCGUGGC